GAUGAACCACUUCGGUGGGGAUUAGUGGCGAACGGGUGAGUAACACGUGGGCAAUCUGCCCUGCACUCUGGGACAAGCCCUGGAAACGGGGUCUAAUACCGGAUAUUGACCUUCACGGGCAUCUGUGAGGUUCGAAAGCUCCGGCGGUGCAGGAUGAGCCCGCGGCCUAUCAGCUUGUUGGUGAGGUAAUGGCUCACCAAGGCGACGACGGGUAGCCGGCCUGAGAGGGCGACCGGCCACACUGGGACUGAGACACGGCCCAGACUCCUACGGGAGGCAGCAGUGGGGAAUAUUGCACAAUGGGCGAAAGCCUGAUGCAGCGACGCCGCGUGAGGGAUGACGGCCUUCGGGUUGUAAACCUCUUUCAGCAGGGAAGAAGCGAAAGUGACGGUACCUGCAGAAGAAGCGCCGGCUAACUACGUGCCAGCAGCCGCGGUAAUACGUAGGGCGCAAGCGUUGUCCGGAAUUAUUGGGCGUAAAGAGCUCGUAGGCGGCUUGUCACGUCGGUUGUGAAAGCCCGGGGCUUAACCCCGGGUCUGCAGUCGAUACGGGCAGGCUAGAGUUCGGUAGGGGAGAUCGGAAUUCCUGGUGUAGCGGUGAAAUGCGCAGA
rnacentral:rRNA from 1 species